rnacentral:rRNA from 1 species
AAAAAAGGUAAGCUACUAAGAGCGAAUGGUGGAUGCCUUGACUGGUAAAGGCGAUGAAGGACGUACUAGACUGCGAUAAGCUACGGGGAGCUGUCAAGAAGCUUUGAUCCGUAGAUUUCCGAAUGGGGCAACCCAAUGUAUAGAGAUAUACAUUACCUAUAUAGGAGCGAACGAGGGGAAUUGAAACAUCUUAGUACCCUCAGGAAAAGAAAUCAAUAGAGAUUGCGUCAGUAGCGGCGAGCGAAAGCGCAAGAGGGCAAACCCAGUGCUUGCACUGGGGGUUGUAGGACUGCAAUGUGCAAGAGCUGAGUUUAGCAGAACAUUCUGGAAAGUAUAGCCAUAGAGGGUGAUAGUCCCGUAUGCGAAAAACAAAGCUUAGCUAGCAGUAUCCUGAGUAGGGCGGGACACGAGGAAUCCUGUCUGAAUCCGGGUCGACCACGAUCCAACCCUAAAUACUAAUACCAGAUCGAUAGUGCACAAGUACCGUGAGGGAAAGGUGAAAAGAACUGAGGUGAUCAGAGUGAAAUAGAACCUGAAACCAUUUGCUUACAAUCAUUCAGAGCACUAUGUAGCAAUACAGUGUGAUGGACUGCCUUUUGCAUAAUGAGCCUGCGAGUUGUGGUGUCUGGCAAGGUUAAGCAAACGCGAAGCCGUAGCGAAAGCGAGUCUGAAUAGGGCGCUUAGUCAGAUGCUGCAGACCCGAAACGAAGUGAUCUAUCCAUGAGCAAGUUGAAGCUAGUGUAAGAACUAGUGGAGGACUGAACCCAUAGGCGUUGAAAAGCCCCGGGAUGACUUGUGGAUAGGGGUGAAAGGCCAAUCAAACUUCGUGAUAGCUGGUUCUCUCCGAAAUAUAUUUAGGUAUAGCGUUGUGUCGUAAUAUAAGGGGGUAGAGCACUGAAUGGGCUAGGGCAUACACCAAUGUACCAAACCCUAUCAAACUCCGAAUACCUUAUAUGUAAUCACAGCAGUCAGGCGGCGAGUGAUAAAAUCCGUCGUCAAGAGGGAAACAACCCAGACUACCAGCUAAGGUCCCUAAAUCUUACUUAAGUGGAAAACGAUGUGAAGUUACUUAAACAACCAGGAGGUUGGCUUAGAAGCAGCCAUCCUUUAAAGAAAGCGUAAUAGCUCACUGGUCUAGUGAUUUUGCGCGGAAAAUAUAACGGGGCUAAAGUAAGUACCGAAGCUGUAGACUUGCACACAACUUAGAUUAUUUAAGUUUAGAAUAAGUAGUUUAAGUUGUGUGCAAGUGGUAGGAGAGCGUUCUAUUUGCGUCGAAGGUAUACCGGUAAGGAGUGCUGGAGCGAAUAGAAGUGAGCAUGCAGGCAUGAGUAGCGAUAAUUAAUGUGAGAAUCAUUAACGCCGUAAACCCAAGGUUUCCUACGCGAUGCUCGUCAUCGUAGGGUUAGUCGGGUCCUAAGUCGAGUCCGAAAGGGGUAGACGAUGGCAAAUUGGUUAAUAUUCCAAUACCAACAUUAGUGUGCGAUGGAAGGACGCUUAGGGCUAAGGGGGCUAGCGGAUGGAAGUGCUAGU